UAUUAAAAAAUUCAUUCAUUUGUGUUGUUUAAAAUUGGAAUGGAUACAGUGACACGUGACGUGCCACAUGCAGCUCAUACCGACAUAUAAUGAUCAAUUUUAAAUUACUGAAAUGAAUGAUUUUUUGAACA
rfam:Gossypium hirsutum cultivar TM-1 chromosome 15, whole genome shotgun sequence